CCUGGCUGUUUGCAACGCACAGAGCCCAUGUGGCUCUGAAAAAUGGCCGCCGCGGCUCCAACAAAAUGGCUGCCGUGGCUGCAAAAACAGAGCGCGGCCUACCGCGUGGUGAUCGUGCGGCACUGCCACGGUAGAAAAGGCUGCUCAGCAAGCGGCCAGGGGCCACAGGGAGCAGGUGGGGAACAAGGGAGAAGGGUAUGGGCGACAGAGCCCAGCAGGGGAACCUGGGGAGGGGGAACAGAUUACAGGCAGAGCCAAAGCAUCAUAGCAGGGGCACCCAUUCCCCAUACAGCAGAGUGAGAAAACAGAAUAAAGUAACCCAGAAUAACAAUAAAUCAAUGAGCAGUAUCCAGAAUCUAUCAGAUAAAUGGCCUAAAUACAGCAACAGGUGUUAACAAGUGAUACAGCAGCUACAUAGCAUGAAGUGGUAUAGGAAAUAACACAAAAUAAACUGCCUAGCUAAACCCAGCAAUAGACUGCCUAGCUAAACACAGCAAUAGACUGCCUAGCUAAAUCCAGCAAGAACCCUGCCUAAAUAAAACCAGCAAUUAAGCUGCCUAAACAAACCUAACAAAUAGACUGAUUAAAUAAACAAGCAGCAUGUAGGAUAAAAAAACAACCCAGAGCAGAGACAACUCUGAGUUGGUGAGUGCUCACCUGG